CCUGACAUUUGGUAGUUCACUUUCCAGAUGGCUGCAAUGGCUACACCCAUGUGGGUUUAGGGGCCCACAGCUGUCAUCUACUGCUUUCCCAGGUGUAUUAGCAGGCUGGAUUGGGUAUCCCAGGCACUCUGAUAUGAGACACAGAUGUCUGAAGCCUGUGGGUUAACCUCCUGUGCCACAAAAUCCAUCCCCUGAGCUAUAAUACGCUAAGUGGUCUACAUCUUGCCAUGUUUGUCUUCCUGUAGUCCUAUCUUCCACAUUGUAGUCAGUGACAUUAGAAAUAGAAAUUAGAGCAUGUUGAUGCUCCUUCUGUUUAAAACUCAGGAAAACCUUCCCUUCCCACUCCAACUCAAAUAAAAUUCACAUACCUUACUGUGGCUUAUCAGACUCUUUAUGAUACCUUCUAUCUAUCUUUCUUUACCUCCUUUUACUCUUUCUUAUAAUUUAUUACAUUUGUUGAGCAUUGAAAGCCUUCUAUUUCUUUCAGCUUUGGUCCCUUGCUUUCCUUUUUGCUUGUCUUUUUUAUAGAUUAUUCUUGGCUAGUAUCUUUGCAAUCCAGUGUCACCUGUUGAGUAUUUUGCUUUUAACUGUAGUUAAAAAUUGCCCCUCACCUCUGUAACUCAUAAUCUUAUUUUGUUUUAAAUUUUCUUUGAUAUAUUUUUUCAAGUUACAGAAGUUUCAUAUAUUUUCUUUAUACCAUUGUAGGAACAUAGUGGCAUCCCCCCCAACCGAUACUCUAACCCUUCUUUCCCCCUCACUCUCAUAUUCCCACUCUUAAUUUUUACAAUGAUCUUUUUUUAGUACACUUAAUGCUCUUUAGUUAAUGCUACCCUAAGUAAAAGAUUUCAACAAAUAGUCUGAGGAGAAAACAAAACAAAGCAAAACAAAAAACAGUUCCUCAAUGAAAGAGAUAAGGGCAUAAACCAUCAUUGAUUAUCAAAAUGUCUAUUUCACAUCAAUAACUUAUAUUUCAGCUGCUGUAUUCAAUACCUCUGAUCAGGGAAAACAUAUGAGAUCUGUCUUUUUGGGACUGGCUUAUUUCACCAAGCAUAAUGGUUUCUGGUUGUGACCAUUUUGUUGCAAAAGACAGGAUUUUUUUUUUUUUACAGCUGAGUAGUACUCCAUAGUGUAUAUAUACCAUAAUUUCUUUAUCCAGUCGUCAGUUGAUGGACUUCUGGGUUGAUUCCAUAUCUUGGCUAUUGUGAAUUGUGCUGCAAUACACGUUGGGUUUCAGAUAACUCUUUCAUAUUCUGAAUUCUUUUGGUUUGGGUAAAUUUCUAGGAGUGAGAUGGCUGGAUCUUAUGGUAGGUCUGUAUUCAGAUUUCUGAAGUAUAUUCAUACUGUCUUCCACAGUGGCUGCACCAGUUUACAUUCCCACCAACAGUGUAUCAGGGUACCUUUUUCCCCACAUCUUCACUAGCAUUUGUCACUUGUUGAUUUCUAUAUGUGGGCCAUUCUAACUGGAGUGAGGUGAAACCUCGUUGUGGUUUUGAUUUUCAUUUCCCUGAUUGUUAGUGAUUCUGAGCAUUUUCUCAAGUGUCUGCUGACUAUUUGAAUUUUCCCUCUUGAAGAUGUCUGUUCAAGUCCUUUGCCUGUUUCUUAACUGGAUUGUUUGUUGUGUUAUUGUUGAAUUUCUUGAGCUUUUUAUAGAUUCUUUAAGUUAACCCUUUAUCACUUAUGUAGUUUGAAAAUAUUUUCUCCCAUUCUGUUGGUUGCCUAUUCAUUUUGCUGAUUGUUUCUUUACAAUGCAGAAGCUUUUCAGCUUUAUGUAGUCCCAUAUGUCAGUUUUGGCUUUGACUGCCUGUGCUUCUGAGGUCUUUUCCAAGACAUCUUUGCCUAUACCAAUGUCUUGCAGAGUUUGCCCAGUGUUCUCUAAUGAUUUGAUGGUAUUGGGAGGUAGAUUUAUGUCUUUGAUCCAUUUUAGGUGGAUUUUUGUGUAAGGUGUAAGGUAGGGUUCUUGCUUCAUACUACUGCAUGUAGAGAUCCAGUUUUCCCAGCACUGUUUUUUGAAGAGACUGCCCUAGCUCCAGGGAUUGAUUUUAUCUCCUUUGUCAAAGAGAAGUUUGUUGUAGAUGCAUGGAUUGAUUUCUGCAGUUUCUAUUCUGUUUCAUUGGUCUAUAAGUCUGUUUUUGUACCAGGCUGUUUUGAUUAUAAUGGCCCUGUAGUAUGUCUUGAAAUGAGGUAUUGUGAUGCAUCUGGCUUUAUUUUUGUUGUAUAGGAUUUCUUUAGCUAUUUUGGGGGUCUCUUGUGUUUCCAUAUGAAUUCUAGCAUCAUUGUUUUCUAGAUCUGCAAAAAAGGUUGUUGGCAUUUUGAUUGGGAUCUCAUUGAAUCUGUAAAUUACUUUUGGUAGUAUGGACAGUUUGAUGAUGUUGCUUCUUCUGAUCCAUGAACAUGGAAGAUUUUUCCAUUUUUUAAUGUCUUUUUCUAUAUCUUUCAUAUGUGUUUUGUAAUUUUCAUUGUAGAGAUCUUUGACAUCCUUGGUUAAAUUUAUUUCAAGGUAUUUGAUUUUUUUUGGAGCUUUUUUGAAUGGGACUGAUCUUAAAAGUUGUUUUUUAGCUAUGACAUUGUCUGUGUAUUCAAAGGCUAUUAAUUUUUCCAUGUUGAUUUUAUAUCCUGCUACUUUACCAAACUCUUUCAUAAAUUCCAAUAGUCUCUCAGUGGAGUAUUUUGGAUCCCCUAUAUAAAGGAUUAUGUCAUCUGCAAAUAGGGAUAUUUUGAUUUUCUCCUUUCCAAUUUGUAUUCCUUUGAUUUCUUUUUCUUUCCUAAUGGCUCUGGCUAAACUUCUAGUACUAUAUUAAACAGUAUUGGUGACUGUGGGCAUCCUUGUCUGGUUCCAGAUCUUAGGGGGAAUGCUUCCAUCUUUUCUCCAUUCAAUAAAAUAUUCAAUAAAAUAUUGGUGUGUUUGUCAUAGAUUGCCUUGAUUAUGUUGAGGAAUGUUCCUUUUAUACCCAAUUUGCUUAAGGUUUUCAGCAUGAAAGGGUGUUGUGUUUUAUGACAUGCUUUCUCUGCAUCUACUGAUAUAAUCUUUUUUUUUUUUUUAAGAUAUACUUAUUUAUUUGAAAGGCAGAGUUACAGAGAGGCAGAGGCAAAGAGAGAGAGAGAGAGAGAGAGAGAGAGAGAGAUAUCUUCGUCCACUAGAUCACUCCCCAAAUGGCUGCAAUGGCUGGAGUUGAGCUGAUCUAAAGCCAGGAGCCAGGAGCUUCUUCCAGGUCUUCCAUGUGGUUGCAGGGGGCCAUCUUACACUGUUUUCUCAGGCCACAGAAGGGGUCUGGAUUGGAAGUGGAGCAGCUGGGUCUCAAAUUGGCGCCCAUAUGAGAUGCUGCUACUGCAGGUGGCAGCUUUCCCUGCUAUGCCACAGCACCAAUCCCAAUAACCAUAUGGUUCUUGUUCUUCAGUUUGUUAAUGGGAUAUAACACAUUGAUUUGUGAGUGUUGAACCAUCCCUGCAUACCAGGGGUAAAUCCACUUGGUCUGGGUGGAUGAUCUUUCUGAUGUGUUGUUGGAUUCGAUUGGCUAGAAUUUUGUUGAGGAUUUUUGCAUCUAUAUUCAUCAGGGAUAUUGGUUUAUAAUCCUCUUUCUCUGUUGCAUAUUUUUCUGGCUUUGGAAUUAAAAGUAAUGUAAGCUUCAUAGAAGGAAUUUGAAGGUUUCCAUUCCUUUCAGUUGUUUUGAAUAGCUUGUUAAGAGUUGCAAUUAGUUCUUCUUUAAAUGUCUGGUAGAAUUCAGCAAUAAAUCCAUCUGGUCCUGGGCGUUUCUCUGUUGAGAGGGUCUCUUUUUUUUUUUUCUUAGAUUUUAUUUAUUCAUUUGAGAGGUAGAGUUAUAAACAGUGAGAGGGAGAGACAGAGAGAGUGGUCUUCCUUCCAUUGGCUCACUCCCCAAAUGGCCGCAAUGGCUGGAGCUAUGCCAAUCCGAACCAGGAGCCAGGAGCUUCUUCCUGGUCUCCCAUAUGGGUGCAGGGGCCCAAGCACUUGGGCCACCUUCUCCUGGUUUCCCAGGCUGUAGCAGAGAGGUGGAUUGGAAGAGGAGCAGCUGGGACUAGAACUGGCACCCAUAUGGGAUGCCAGUGCCAUGGGUGGAGGAUUAACCUGCGCCACCGCACCAGCCCCGAGAGAGGGUCUUUAUUACUGAUACAAUUUCCAUCUUGGUUAUUGGUCUGUUUAGGUUUUUUAUGUCUUCCUAGCUCAAUCUUGGUAGAAUGUAUGUGUCUAGGAAUCUAUCCAUUUCUUCUUGGUUUCCUGUUUUGUUGGCAUACAGCUCUUUGUAGUAAUUUCUAAUGAUUCUUUUUCUUUCUGUGGUAUCUGUUGUUACAUUUCCUUUUUAAUUUCUGAUUUUGUUGAUUUGGGUCUUCUGUCUCUCUUUUUUUUUUGGUUAGUUGGACCAAUGAUGUAUCUAUUUUGUUUAUUUUUUCAAAAAAGAAGCUCUUCAUUUCAGUGAUUUUUUGUAUUUUUUUUGUUUUUAAAUUUGUUAAUUUCAUCUCUAAUUUUAAUUAUUUCUUUCCUCCUAUUUGAGUUUGGUUUGUUGUUUUUCUAGAUCCUUGUGAGGCAGUGAUAGCUCAUUUAUUUGGUUCCUUUCCAAUUUAUUGAUGUAGGCACCAGUUGCUAUAAACUUCCUUGUCGCUCCCCCUCUUCGUGGAGGAGCAACACAGGACCCUGCGCUGUUCUUUCGUCUGCUCGGCCCUCCCCGGGUUUGCUGCUGGUUCUUCCCGGGUUGGCUACUAUCCCUUCCACCUCCGUGGAAGGGCAGUUCCCCCUGGCCGCAUUCCCCACUUCCGCAGGGGAGCGGCACACCGCCGGCCGGUUUUCUCAGGGGCUGCACGGGUUCCCUUAGAUGUUCCCCAUAGAUGUUCCUGGUGCAUGCCGUCUCUCUCCUCCUUUAUAGUCCUCCUCCGCCAAUCCCAACUCGGCUGCCCACACGCCGAGUACGCUGCUCUCCAAUCAGGAGCAAGUCCUACAGUUUAUUAGUUGAACUCGAGGCAGCUGUGCGGAAGCUGUUUACUUCUCUCCCAGCGCCAUAUUGUGGGAGAGCAGAUGCAUAGAAUAAGUCUUAAUUCGAGUAACAGUCUAGUCCGGAUUGCUCCCCACAGAUCCCCCUUUCUUUUUAUUUUUUAGCGUUGAUACGCGCCUGUCUUCGGUGUCCCGCGGCACACACUCUGCUCUACUUGCUAGAGUUGCCACAGGCUCUUACAAGUCCUAUCAGGCAAACCGAAUCCGGGUCCUCUCUUCGCCAUGUUGUGAGGAGGUUUUUAGGCGCUGAUGCGUGCCUGUGUUCGGUGCCCUGCAGCGCAUGCUCUGCUCUGCCUGCAGGGGACUUACAAGACCUAUCAGGCAAACCGAAUCCAAGCCUUCUCAUUGCCUUAUUGUGGGGGAGACUUAUUAGUGUUGGUUCGUGCCUAUCUUCGGUGACCUGCAGCUCAUACUCUGGUCGAGCUUUGCUGGCGCUUACCGCCUUAAAUCAGGCAGACCGAAUCCAAGCUUAAUAUUGUUGUAUUGUGGGGAAGCCUUACUGAUGUUAAUUCGUGCCUGUCUUCGGUGACCUGCGGCGCAUAAGCUGCUAGCUGCCCGCAGGUGCUCAUCGCCUCACUUGAUUAGGCAGACCGAAUCCAAGCUCUCACAUUGCAGUGUUGUAGGGAGGCCUUUUUAUUUCUCUAUUUCUCUAUCUCCGGGCAUUCCUAUUUCUCCCAUUUUACUUCUAUCUUCCAGCAUUCCUAUUUUUCUCACUUUACUUCUAAAACUUCUGUUUCUCUUAUCCCUGCGGCUUUCCAGCACCUCGCCCCGCCGGCGGGUUCCCGGCUCUGCGCCGCUUCAGCCCGCGCCUCAUCUGCGCGGCUCGGCUUUGCGCGGCUUGGCUUCGCGCGCUCCACGGUCUCCACGCUUAACCCUUUCGCGUCUGAACCACAGCCUACGCCAGCCCGUUCCCCAUCUAUUCACGCCCCGUGCUCUCUCUGCACGCGACGGCUUCCGCGAGUAACACAGCGUAGCUCACGUGUCCGCCACUAGGAUUCAAUCUAAGUUCCCCGGGCUAGCCUGGCGAAUUCAACCCAGCGUACGUCUCCGCCCCACGGUUUGGCCUCCCGUCCUUUGCUCCCCGGGCUAAUCAGACGGAUCCCAACCUGGCUUACGUCUCAGCUUCUGGUUUCAACUUUUCGCCCCCUAUUCCCGGGCUAACUUAAGAAUCCCAAAGUGGCUUUCGUGUCCGCCUUGGCCUGCCCCCCGCGGCUUCAAUUUCCCUAACAUUUUUCUCUACCCGGUAUGUUUCCCCAAGCUUUCCUCCAACGAUAUUCCUCCCUCAUUUCUCCUGGCCUCUCCCCACAGUCCACGUCCGAGUCUGUUUGUUCUAGCUUUCACUUUCGCUUUCGACCUUAGAGAUUUCUCCCAGCUUCCCCCCGUAGUCCGUAUCCGAGUCUAUGCCUAGGCUUUCAAUAGCUUCUUCCGGCUCCUUUUUCGUCCGGCUUUUCCCUAGGCUGUUUGCUAGUUUCUCUCUCCGAUAUUUUCCCUAGUUCUUCCCGUUUCUUCCCUCCUAAGUUUCAUAUCCGUCCUAAGUUUCCUAUUCCGAACUAGGUUUCCUAUCCGAGUCACGGCACCAUUAUGUCGCUCCCCCUCUUCGUGGAGGAGCAACACAGGACCCUGCGCUGUUCUUUCGUCUGCUCGGCCCUCCCCGGGUUUGCUGCUGGUUCUUCCCGGGUUGGCUACUAUCCCUUCCACCUCCGUGGAAGGGCAGUUCCCCCUGGCCGCAUUCCCCACUUCCGCAGGGGAGCGGCACACCGCCGGCCGGUUUUCUCAGGGGCUGCACGGGUUCCCUUAGAUGUUCCCCAUAGAUGUUCCUGGUGCAUGCCGUCUCUCUCCUCCUUUAUAGUCCUCCUCCGCCAAUCCCAACUCGGCUGCCCACACGCCGAGUACGCUGCUCUCCAAUCAGGAGCAAGUCCUACAGUUUAUUAGUUGAACUCGAGGCAGCUGUGCGGAAGCUGUUUACUUCUCUCCCAGCGCCAUAUUGUGGGAGAGCAGAUGCAUAGAAUAAGUCUUAAUUCGAGUAACAGUCUAGUCCGGAUUGCUCCCCACACUUCCUCUUAACACUGCUUUUGCCGUAUCCCAUAAGUUUUGAUAUUAUGUAUUGUCAUCUUCUUUUGAUUUCUUCUAUGACCCGUGUUCAUUCAGAAGCAUGUUGUUCAGUCUACAUGUGUUUACAUAUGAUCCAGAGAUUCCUGAGUUGUUGAAUUCCAGCUUUAUUCCAUUAUAGUCUGAGAAGACACAUGGUAUGAUUUCAGUUUUUUUGAAUUUGCUGAGGCUUACUUUAUGGCCUAGCAUAUGGUCUAUCCUAGAGAAAGUUCCAUGCACUGAUGAGAAGAAUGUGCAUUCUGUCACUGUGGGGUUCUGUAGGUAAUGGUUCUGUAGAUAUCCAUUAGGUAUAUUUGGUCUUCAGUGUUGAUUAGCUCUAUUAUUUCCUUGCUGAUUUUCUUUUCAUUUUUUUAGCAUUUAAUUAUAAGUUCUCAAAUUUUUCUGUUAGGUUUUGUUUCUUCCCUCACUGUGUAUUAACUGUUUAAGAUCAAGGCCUCUGGCUUGUUUACUGAUUUAUACCCAAUACCUACAUAUAGUUCCUAGCACCUAAUUUAUGCCCAAUAUAAAAUUAUUGAAUGAAUAUAAUUUAUCCUCAACUAUUCUUGAAAAUGGCAAAACUGAGAAUUAUCCUUGUCCUCUAGCUUGGUGACUAUAGUACAUUUUUUCCCCUUUCUCUUUUCCAUAGCUCUAGACCCAAGUUCUUUAUGCUAGCCAAAUAACCAGUUUUCUUUUUUCCCCUCCACAGGAUGGUCAACAGAUAUGUAUGUGGAUAAUGACUUAAGCUGAAUUCCUAAACUAGUAGAUUCCUUCUUUGGAAGAUUACUUAGAAGUACCAGAAUUAGGAAUGAUAUUCCUCUCUCUUUUUCUUACUUGGAUUCUUUUAGUCAUAUUGAGAAGUGUAAAUUUCUGAUACUGAACAUAAUAGGCAGUGUUGAGCUCUUAAUUUAUAUUUGUAGAUAUUGAGAUACUUUGCUCUCCCAAGUGAACAGGGAUAAAGUUGCUGUGCCCACUUGAUCAUGGAAGCAGACGUUGAGGGGGAUUUUUGUAGAGACUGCUGCUAAAUUUGUGAUCAUGAAAAGAGGAAUUGUUAGAAAUCAUUAGGUAUUUCCCUUGAGUGUUAGUGACAUUCAGUUAUUUUUUUUUCCUAAUUUGAGUCAAUUUCUAUGAUGAUAAUCACAACUUUUUUCUUUUUAAAUUAUAGAUAUUUUAAGAAGGAAACAAGCUUAACUUUUGGAGAAUUUUCACAAAAGAAUUCAGUAAACAUUAUAAGUGACCUGUUCUCUUAGUGUAAAUAAAUAUAAUGUGUCUCUGGAAAGAGACCCAGGGAAUCUUUUAGUAACGUGUUGAACUCACUUAUUACCAAGAAUAUUAAGACUUGUCAAAUGUUAUUAAAGAGUUCAUGAAAAUGAAGGGUUUUGCAAAAGAUCUCUUCUAAUGUAAGAUGUGGCUUAGUGACAUUUAAUACAGGAAGGGUGGUUUUCUUGUUCAACUCUGAAGAGCUAGGCUCUGAAAGGUUCUGUGAUUUUGUUCUUAACAAUUUCUCCUUUGUGUUCCAAAUGGGAGAAAAUCAUAAAAAGACUAAAAGGAAUUGGCCCACUAACUUGGUCUUUAUUACAAGCAUGUGGAUAAUGUGGGUAGCUUUUUCUUUUUAAGAUCUAUUUAUUUAUUUGAAACAAUAAAGAGGGAGAGAGGGAGGGUGGAAGAGAGAGAGAAACUCUUAUAUGUUGGUUUACUCCUCAAAUGGCCACGAUGGCAGAGGCUGGGCUGGGUCAAGCCAAAGCUAGAAGCCUGGAAUUCCAUCCAGGUCUCCCAUGUCGCUGGCAGGGGACUAAGCACUUGGGGCAUCUUACACUUCUUUAGUAGGCACAUUAUUAGGCAGCUGGAUCAGAAGUGGAACAGCCAGGACUUGAAACAGCACCCAUAUGAAACACAGACAUCACAAAUGGCAGAUUAGCCUACUGCACCACAAAGCUGGCCCCAGUGGGUAGCUUUUAAACACACAGAUUCACAGGCCAGACCUCCACCCUAUUGGAUCACAAUCCAUUGAGGGUUGAGAAUCUCUCUGACUUCGUCUUUUGCUUUCCCUCUUCUCUGGCAUGUGUAUGAAUGUGUGUGUGUGUGUGUGUGUGUGUGUUGGGAGGGUAUCUUUCUUCUCCCCUCUCUAAAUCUUUCAGGCAGUUGUGAUAGAUAUUUUUCUACCUAGUGUUUUAGAAAAAAAAUGCUUUAAGAGAAUCCUCUUGAAAUCUUAUUUGGGAAGAGAGUCAGUUUGGUAGUCAUUAAUAUGUAGGUAGUUUAUAUUAAAAGAGAUUCUCUAUGGGAAAUGUUCUAAGGACCUUUAUAGAGAGGUUUAAGACUAGUUAAUUAAAAAUAAUAUUUAUAUAUUUGAAAGGCAGAGAGAAAGGUACAUAUAUACAUACAUGGGGAGAUCUUCCAUUUUCUGGUUCUCUCCUGAAAUGCCCGCAACAGCCAGUGAUGGAUCAGGCCAAAGCCAGGAGCCUGGGACUCAAAUCAAGGCCUCACACAUGGAUGGCAGGUACCCACGUACUUGAGUCAUACCUGCUGCAUCCCAAGGUGCACAUUAGCUGGAAAUUGGAAUUGGGAACGGAGCCUACACUUGAACCCAGGCACUCCAGUAUGGGAUGGAGGCAUCCCAAGCAGUAUCUUAACCAUCACACCUGGUGCCCUCACCAUGAUAAGUUAAUUUUGUAAAUAAAAUGUAAAGUCAAAUUUGUGUACUUUUCAAAAGCAGAACUUCAGAUUUUCCCUGUUUUACUAUGUUUCUAUGUGUAUAUUUAUCAAAUUACUAGUGAUCAUAUAGAGUAGGAACUAUUUAUUUUAAUAUGAGAUGCUAUAAGUAUACGACAAAACUGUCUUCAUUGGUACAUGUAAGAUUUCCUUUAUUGGAUAAUUUAAUACUGUGUUUUCAAGAUACAUCCAUAUUGUAUUUUUAAAAAUAUUUUCAUUUACUUGAAAGGCAGAGUAACAGAGAGAGAGAGAGAGAGAAAGAGAGAGAGGGAGCGAGUGAGUGAGUGAGAGAGAAAUUUUCCUCCUCUGGUUAAUUCCUUACAUGUUCACAGCAGUUAAGGCUGGGCCAGGCUGAAGCCAGGAGCCUGGAACUCCAUCCAGGUCUCCCACAAGGGUGGUAGGGGCCCAAGUAUAUGAGCCAUUAUCUGCUGCUUCCCAGGAUGCAUUAGUAGGAAUCUGAAUUAGAAGUGGUGUAGCUGGGAGUUGAACUGGCUCUCCAGUAUGUGAUGCAGACAUUCCAGGCAGUGGCUUAACCCAAUGUGUGACAAUGCCUGCCCCCAUGUUGUUGUAUUUACUUUGAACCUGACAUUACAUUUUCAAGACCAGUUCAUAUUGUUUUUCAUAUUUCCAAUGUGUAAUUUCACAACAGAAUGUGAGUAAGAGAGACAAAGGAAAACAGAAGGGGAGUGCUGUGUUCUGAAUGUUUGUCUCCUCCUAAACUCAUGGUGAAAUUUAUUUGCCAUUGUAAUAGCAUUAAGAGACAGGACUUUUGGCUGGCACCGUGGCUCACUAGGCUAAUCUUCCGCCUUCGGUGCUAGCACCCCAGGUUCUAGUCCCCGUUGGGGCACCGGAUUCUGUCCCAGUUGCUCCUCUUCCAGUCCAGCUCUCUGCUGUGGCCCAGGAAGGCAGCGGAGGAUGGCCUAAGUCCUUGGGCCCUGCACCCGCAUGGGAGACCAGGAAGAAGCACCUGGCUCCUGGCUUUGAUAGAUGCAGCACGCCGUCCGCAUCGCACCGACCGUAGCGGCCACUUGGGGGGUGAACCAACGGAAAAAGGAAGACCUUUCUCUCUGUCUCUCUCUCUCUCUCUCACACUAACUCUGCCUGUCAAAAAAAAAAAAAAGAAA